AUGGAAAGACAGGUGCAAGAAAUGCUGGACAAUGGCAUUAUCAGACAGAGUAAUAGCCCCUUUUCUUCUCCUAUGAUAAUGGUGCAGAAAAAGGAUACCACCUGGAGGCUAGUGAUUGAUUACAGGCAUUUGAACAAUAUUACUAUUAAGUGUAAAUAUCCUAUUCCUGUUAUUGAUGAGCUGCUGGAUGAAUUAGCUGGGUCUCACUGGUUUUCAAAGCUUGAUCUCAGAGCUGGUUACCACCAAAUUCAUAUGGCACCAGGAGAAGAGUACAAAACUGCCUUUCAGACACACACAUGGCAUUAUGAAUUCCUAGUGAUGUCCUUUGGUUUAACUGGAGCACCUAAUACUUUU
rnacentral:rRNA from 1 species